UACGUAGGGUGCGAGCGUUAAUCGGAAUUACUGGGCGUAAAGCGUGCGCAGGCGGGUGUACAAGGCAGGUGUGAAAUCCCCGGGCUUAACCUGGGAACUGCACUUGUGACUGUACGACUGGAGUACGGCAGAGGGGGAUGGAAUUCCGCGUGUAGCAGUGAAAUGCGUAGAUAUGCGGAGGAACACCGAUGGCGAAGGCAAUCCCCUGGGCCUGUACUGACGCUGAGGAGCGAAAGCGUGGGGAGCAAACAGG
rnacentral:rRNA from 1 species